AUUGAACGCUGGCGGGAUGCCUAACACAUGCAAGUCGAGCGGAUGAAGGGAGCUUGUUCUCGUCUUCAGUGGCGGACGGGUGAGUAAUGCCUAGGAAUCUGCCUGGCCUUGGGGGCUAACGUCCGGACACGGGCGCUAAUAUCGCAUACGUCCUGAUGUUGAACGUGGGGGUUCUUCGGACCUCACGCUAUUUGCUGUCCCUAGGUCGGAUUAGCUAGUUGGUGGGGUAAAGGCCUACCAAGGCGACGAUCCGUAACUGGUCUGAGAGGAUGAUCAGUCACACUGGAACUGAGACACGGUCCAGACUCCUACGGGAGGCAGCAGUAGGGAAUAUUGGGCAAUGGGCGAAAGCCUGAUCCAGCAAUGCCGCGUGAGUGAAGAAGGUCUUCGGAUCGUAAAGCACUGUAAGUAGGGAGGAAGGAAAGUGAGUUAAUACCUGGAUGUUUUGACGUUACCAACAGAAUAAGCACCGGCUAACUACGUG
rnacentral:rRNA from 1 species